UACGUAGGCCACAAGCGUUAUCCGGAUUUAUUGGGCGUAAAGCGUGUGUAGGGGGUUCGAUGCGUCUGCGGUUAAAGCCCACCGCCUAACGGUGGAAGUGCCGCGGAUACGAUCGAACUGGAGGGUGUUAGAGGUGCACGGAACACAUGGUGUAGGGGUGAAAUCCGUUGAUAUCAUGUGGAACACCGAAGGCGAAGGCAGUGCACUGGGACAUUCCUGACCCUGAGACACGAAAGCGUGGGGAGCAAAAAGG
rnacentral:rRNA from 1 species